ensembl:misc_RNA Metazoa_SRP Metazoan signal recognition particle RNA
GCUGGGCAUGGUGGUGUGUGACUGUAAUCCCAAAUACUUAGGAGGCUGAGGCAGGAGAAUCGCUUGAACCUGGGAGGCAUAGGCUGCAGUGAGCCGAGAUCCUGCCACUGCACUCCAGCCUGGGUGACAGAGCGAGACCCUGUCUCAA